rnacentral:tmRNA from 1 species
CGGCUUCAAAUCUAAACCGUCGGAGUCUAUAUUAUACCCGUUCGGGUUCGCCCGGACUAUGGCGAUAAACGGAAGCGUAAUAAGCGGACUGGACCCGGGGGCGGUACCCGGCGGCUCCACCAAAUGCUCAUCGCGGUGAGCAUCUGUGGGGCCGAAACAGGAUCGACAGACGUGUAAAGGCUGACCUUUCGCCCGGUAUGGUAUCCGCCGUUAUCGGGCUAAUCGUACAGGUGCCAACGAUAACGAAAUGGCCCUCGCUGCCUAAUUAGGCAAGCGCGGUUUCGGGGAGGGCACCGGGCAACAGAAGCCCUCCCCA